UAUUUUGCAUUUCACAAAACAAAAAUAUCAAAUACAGUAUUUAUGACUUAAAAUAAAGGCUGACUCAUUUUCAUGACCUUUUGUUUAUCAUAUGUUCUUUUCCUUUUCUCAUAUAAAGAAAAGAAUUUUUAUAUUUUCCAUGCAAAUUUCCAAUAUUUAUUAGUUUUAGUUUUAACAUGCAUGUAACCUAAAAAUAAAUUCAAUGGUAUAAAAAUAAAGUAAAUAGA
rnacentral:misc_RNA from 1 species